GAUGAACGCUGGCGGCGUGCCUAACACAUGCAAGUCGAACGGUCAAAGGACCAGCUUGCUGGUUCUGCGUGAGUGGCGCACGGGUGAGUAACACGUGAGUAACCUACCCCUUUCUUCUGGAUAACCUCAUGAAACCGGGGCUAAUACCGGAUAAUCUAUGUAUGACCAAUGGUGGGUCCUGGAAGGCUGUUUUUCCGUCGGUGGUUGGGCUCGCGGCCUAUCAGCAGGUUGGUGGGGUGAUGGCCUACCAACGCGGGGACGGCGAGUCGGCAUGAUGGGGUGGACGGUCAGAAUGGGACUGAGACACAGACCACAAUGGUACGGGAGGGAGGAGUGGGGAAUACAGCAGAAUGGGCGCAAGCGUGAUGCAGCGGCGCCGCGUGAGGGAGGGAGGCCUUCGUGUUGUAAACCUAUUUCGGAAGUGAAGCAGGCCUGCUCCUUGUGGGUGGGUUGACGGUAGCUGGAUAAGAAGCGCCGGCUAACUACGUG
rnacentral:rRNA from 1 species